rnacentral:rRNA from 1 species
GACGUAGGGGGCGAGCGUUGUCCGGAUUUAUUGGGCGUAAAGAGCGUGUAGGCGGUCAGGUAGGUCCGUUGUGAAAACUCGAGGCUCAACCUCGAGACGCCGAUGGAAACCAUCUGACUAGAGUCCGGAAGAGGAGAGUGGAAUUCCUGGUGUAGCGGUGAAAUGCGCAGAUAUCAGGAAGAACACCCGUGGCUAAGGCGGCUCUCUAGUACGGUACUGACGCUGAGACGCGAAAGCGUGGGGAGCGAACAGG